AUUUGGCUUGAAAGAGACAUUCUGUUGUAGCUAAUGGAUCGGUUGUGGUGUGUACUCGUGCGUGCGUGUGUGUGUGUGUGUGUGCACGCGCGCGCGCACGGACACGUGCACGCGCGCGCGCACGGGCACGUGCACGCGCGCGCGCACGGGCACGUGCAUGCGCAUGUUGUGUCAGGAGUUCAGCUUACACUCGAGUAGGACCCUGG